ACAUACAUACAUACAUACAUACAUACAUAUAUGUAUAUAUGUGUAUGUAUGUAUGUAUGUGUGUAUAUAUACAUACAUACAUACAUACAUACAUACAAGCAUGCAUACUUGCUCUGCAAGGGUCGUGGCUUUUGUGGCGCGAUGGGUAACGAUGCUUCGUGGGGUGUCAGUUGUUGAUGUGUGCAGAGGGUCCCUGGUUCAAGCCCAGGUUGGGGCGAGGAGAGGGACGGAAGCUAAACUGUUACACAUACCUAUUCACUAAAAGUAUACUUUAAAAAAAGAACAGUCUUAGAAAAAUACUUUUUAAAAUCAAUUAGUAUAUUUCAGUUUAACCACUUUGUUCUGUCUUUUCAAGUGGAUUAAACUGAAAUUGCAACCAACUUUCUAAGGCUUUUUUUAAACGAUAUGAGAUUAUUUUAUUUUCAAACAACCGAAAGCUAAUGUUAGCUAACAUAAUUAGACUACCAGUAUAUCAUUAACGUUGACGUUAAUUACUUUAAACCAAAAGAUAGUGCAAGCUAAUGAAACUAACGUUAACGCUAAAUUGUCGCCCAUAUUGAAAAUCUUCGUUAACCUUUGCUUGCCAAACUAAGAUUGUAGACAAUGACAGACACCAUCGAUAAUUUAGCUUCGUCGUCUUUGGCGCCAUUUCUAUUGUCAAUAGAAAGGGUGCCAAAGACGGGGAAGCUAAAUAAUCCACGGUGUCAGUCAUUAGGGCACAUUUACACCUCAUUAACGAUCAUUAACCCAUCUUAGAUUGUAACAAACUUCGCACCGCAAAGAUUAACAUAUUUCCACAAAUAACAUUUGAGUUAAAUUAUGAAUGGUCGUCAGGAGAGGACGGCAUGGAUCAUAUAGCAAUCGCAGUAUUAAAAGGUAAUGUUCAUUUGUUUAUACCCGUCUACCUUUCGCCUUAGCAAGGUAACGUUAGCUAACGUUCAUUUGAAUUUGAAAGUUGGCAAACCCAAGUUAGCAUGCUAAUUUUAACUAGGUAACGUUAGCUAACGUUCAUUUGAAUUGGAAAGUUGGCAAACCCAAGUUAGCAUGCUAAUUUUAACUAGGUAACGUUGACUGUUGGCAGUUAAUAACUAAAAAACGGCCAUUCAGUUUAAAACACUUGAACUUUGGUUAGAUUGAUAGUGCUUUAUUGUCAGAAAGUGUUAAUGAGGUGUAAAUGUUAGUUUGUUACAAUCUAAGAUGGAUAAUGAUCGUUAAUGUAAUUAACGGUUAUUAGAACACCUGUAAUGCGGAGUGAUACAUGUAUAGUUAAAAGUCCCAGUGCUGUUAAUCUACUACAAUCAAAUUACUUCGUCUAUCAUAAAUACUUGUGAACAUUUUCAGUUCUUUCCGCCCUUUUACUUGCGUUUGCUUUUAGUAACAUUCAAGAUGCUUUUGGCGGUGCGUUAUCUGCGGCGUUUUUAUUACUUCCUUAUUUGCAUUUCAGUCAUUUAGCAGACGCUCUUAUCCAGAGCGACUCACAGUAGUGAAUACAUACAUUUCAUUUUUUGUUGUUGUACUGGCCCCCCGUGGGAAUCGAACCCACAACCCUGGCUUUGCAAACACCAUGCUCUACCAACUGAGCCAUAUCAAUAGAUUGCACAGUCGCAGCCCUGAUUUCUAGUUGCUCUGUGGUAUUGACGGAUGCACUGAGGAAUAUAGAGUGUACAAUUCCUUCUAUCAACGUGUAAAGAGAAACCACCUUCAACACUUACUUGAAGGCACCCGACCAGAUGAACAGCCAUCGGAGGAAAAUCAAGUACCACCCGAACAAGUAAGUAGCUAGCAAGCAUUUUUUUGUUGUUGUCUGGAUUUACAAAAAUAAUUUAAUGAACGGACGAUACACAGACCAAAGUCAUACUGUCCAUUGGCUAUUCGAUAAUUUUAGCUAUAAUGACUCUUAUGGCAAACGCUGAGUUAAUGUGAAAAUAAUCAAUGAUAAAUAGGAACAAAACACUUAAAUAACUCUUGGUGAAACUAAAUACAAUUUCAAAUAAUAAUCUGUUUCUUUGAUGUGUGGUAUACAGGACAACAUUCAACCCGAUCAGCUUCUAGCUAACUCCAUACAUCUGACUCAGAUGAAGGGCAAAGGGGCAUUGACCAACAUGGAGCUGUCACAGUGCAACAAAAAGGUGUGAAUGACAUUGUUGCUGGUGUACAGCAGUAUCAAUCACCACUAUUGGACAACCUCAGGAAGCAGAUGGAGGCAGUGCUAAAGAAGCAUUCAGGAAGCACAUCAGGUCAACUUGGAAAAGAUGCAAUGGAUAUUUGACAAUUUCAUUGACCAUUUUGCUGGCAUUGCAACAACAGGACAGUGUUAUUAAGAAGCAGUUUAGCUGUUUGGACGUAGAGGAAAUUCCAAUUGCUGGAACCAGUGUGGAGGAGGAUAAAUACAUUUUCAUCAAAGACAAAUUAUUUCAUUAUGUACCAUUAGUCAAAAGUCUAGAACAUUUCUUAACACACCCAAUGAUUUUGUCUGUGGUUGAAAAGGGACCUAAGAUGUGCAGGGAAAGUUGUUUUCAUGACAUUGUUGAUGGUGCUCUUCUAAAAUCACAUGCCUUUGGUUUCUCUGAAAAUAAGGGAUUGCAGAUUGUUCUGUACACGGAUGAAAUAGAGAUCUGUAAUCCACUAGGAUCUUUUGCAUCAAAAAACAAGUUGUUAAUGGUGUACUACACCCUAGGAAAUAUAAAUCCAAAAUACAGGUCUAAACUGGCUGCUAUCAGGCUACUUGCCAUGGCUAGAUUAGCAGACCUCUGUCAAUCUGGUGUAGAUGAAAUAUUGAAUAGAAUCAAGGAAGACAUGGAUGCAUUGUACAGUGGGGUUAAAAUGCUAACUAUUAACAGAGAAAACAAUAUAUGGUGCCAUGGUCUCUCUGUGGAGACACCCUGGCACAACAUGAACUAGCAGGGUUCAAAGAGGGUGUGGGCUUUGCCUACAGUAAGUGCAGACACUGAGUGUUCUUUUGAGGACAUGCAGUCACACUUCAAUGAGGAUGCAUACACUAAAAGGACAUUGGAGAAGCAUGUCAGAGAGUGUGAUGAAAUAGAAAAGGCACAGACGGACUUGCUUCGCAACAGCCUGAGAACAACAAAUGGGAUCAAUAGAAAGGAGCAAGUUAGUUGAAUUCCCAGCCUUUGAUAUCAUACAACAAACUCCAAUAAACAUUAUGCAUGUAAUUCUGGAGGGCGUAGCCCCAUUGGAAAUCAAAUGUGUUUUGAAUCUUCUUGUGUCAGGACAGAUUGAUCUGGACUCAGUGAAUUCUGCGAUUCUUGGUUUUCCCUAUUCCCCUCCAGAUGUUAGAGAUGGGCCAUCCCCAAUUUCUGUUAGUGAUGGUAAACUUAAACAGUCAUCUGGGCAAAUGCUUGUCCUGCUAAGGAUAUUGCCAUUUGUUUUGGAGACUUUGGAAGUCGAUGCAUAUAUACACGACUGAUAAUUGAGCUAAUAGAGAUUGUACAGAUGGUAUUCGCAUACUCAUUGAAAAUCAUUUGAAGCAUUGGAAGGAACUUUUUCCAGACCGCAAUGUUACACCUAAACAGCAUUAUAUGAUACAUUUGCCAUCACAGAUAAAGUCAUUGGGUCCAAUGGUUAGACAUAUGUGUAUGCGGUUCGAGUCUAAACAUUUUUCUUUAAACAAUGGGCUUCCAAGCUGAAUUAAAAAAAUAUUUGCAAGUCUUUGAUCAAUCAGAACCAAAUAUAUGAAGCUGCCAAAAUGUUGACAGUUCAAUACACCCACUUUUUUUCAAAUGAAAGGGAGAUGGGACCUGUAUCAGAGGUUAAAGAUCUACAAUAUUUAUGUGGAAAAGUGAGGGACUUCCUAGGUUUCAAUGAAGUAAACCAUGCUGUAUCAGUCAAAUGGCUUGUAAUAAAUACAUCAUUCAGAAGUCCAUGGUAAUAUGCCAGAAUUUGGACUGGUAAAAAACAUAAUUUGUUGUUGAUUCUAGGCUUUAUUGUUUGGAAUAUCAACCAUUUCAAACUAUACGCUUUGAUAGAAACGUCAUGACUUAUCAAGUUGAGGUCCCACACCUUGCACAGGCCACUGAGUUGAUUUUACCUCUUAUUACACAAUUAGCAACAAGAGCCAAACUUAUGUACAAGUUAAAUACCAUCUUGGGGAUGUAAUAGAAUUGUACAACAGUUCAAAUGACUCAUAGUGUGUUCCCCAGAUAUGAAAAGUGUACUGUCAUUGUUCUGUACUGUAUUUGUCUACAUGAUUGCUGUGCUGUGUGUAAGAUUGACAAUAGAACAGUGAAUUCCAUUUGGUCAUUACCUGUUCUUAAUAUGUGAAGCGAUGAAAAGGAUAAGAUAGAUGCUUGAAAUAAGAA